rnacentral:rRNA from 1 species
UACGAAGGGGGGCUAGCGUUUGUUCGGAAUUUACUGGGCGUAAAGCGCACGUUAGGCGGAUAUUUUAAGUCAGGGGUGAAAUCCCGGGGCUCAACCCCGGAACUGCCUUUUUGAUACUGGGGAUCUUGAGUCCGGGGAGAGGUGAGUGGAACUGCGAGUGUAGAGGUGAAAUUUCGUAGAUAUUCGCAAGAACACCAGUGGCGAAGGCGGCUCUCUGGGCCUUACCUGACGCUGAGGAGCGAAAAGCGUGGGGUAGCGAACAGG